GGGGGCGCACUGGUUUCGACCGGUUUGCGUCGGGCCUGGGUGGCGUGCCGGGGAUCUCGAGUCACCCCGCUAAACCCUCUCGGGAAACGGCAUAACCUGCCAAUGAUUACGCUCUCGCUGCUUAGUCAAUAAGCAGCCGUCCUCCACGGAGUGCCCGCGGCCGUGGAACGACGCCACUUGCGGGCUGGUCGACAAGGCUCUCCGUCGGGCUGCGUCGACGAGACCUCACGACGGCGGCCUCGACGCAGCCUGUCCGCGGGCGUCGACGGGGCGGCACAAACCACGGACUACGCACGUAGAAGCCUGGACUUGGUUCAUUCCGGAACGCGGGUUCGACUCCCGCCGCCUCCACCA
rnacentral:tmRNA from 1 species